rnacentral:RNase_P_RNA from 1 species
CGAGUCGGCCGGGCGGCCGCGGCGAGCGGAACGGCCAGGUCACUGGAUAUGCCGCUCGCCGAGGAAAGUCCGGACUCCGCAGAGCAGGGUGGUUGUCAACGGCAACCCGGGGUGACCCGCGGGACAGUGCCACAGAGAACAGACCGCCGACCGAGGUCGGUAAGGGUGAAAC